AAUUAUGAUAGAGGCGCGAGCUUUAUAACUAACAACGAAGACCAUGGCAAAUGGGAUGAUACGUUGCGAAAGGAAAGAUCGCCGAAGGAUGAUGUUUCGCCACCAUUUUCCUGGGCUUGCUGUUAAGAACAGUAAGACUGUCAUCACAACAGUGAUGGGGUGCUAUCUAAAAC
rnacentral:ncRNA from 2 species